rnacentral:ncRNA from 1 species
AAACUGAAGAGUUUGAUCAUGGCUCAGAUUGAACGCUGGCGGCAGGCUUAACACAUGCAAGUCGAGCGGAAACGAUGGUAGCUUGCUACCAGGCGUCGAGCGGCGGACGGGUGAGUAAUGCUUAGGAAUCUGCCCAGUAGUGGGGGAUAGCCCGGGGAAACUCGGAUUAAUACCGCAUACGCCCUUUUG